rnacentral:rRNA from 1 species
UACGUAGGGGGCAAGCGUUGUCCGGAUUUAUUGGGCGUAAAGAGCGUGUAGGCGGCCAGGUAGGUCAGCUGUGAAAACUCGAGGCUCAACCUCGAGACGUCGGUUGAAACCACCUGGCUAGAGUCCGGAAGAGGAGAGUGGAAUUCCUGGUGUAGCGGUGAAAUGCGUAGAUAUCGGAAGGAACACCGGUGGCGAAAGCGGCGCGCUGGAUCUCUUCUGACGCCGAGGCGCGAAAGCCAGGGGAGCAAACGGG